UACGUAGGGUGCAAGCGUUAAUCGGAAUUACUGGGCGUAAAGCGUGCGCAGGCGGUUUUGUAAGUCUGACGUGAAAUCCCCGGGCUCAACCUGGGAAUUGCGUUGGAGACUGCAAGGCUAGAAUCUGGCAGAGGGGGGUAGAAUUCCACGUGUGAGCAGUGGAAAUGACGUAGAGAUGUGGAGGAACACCGAUGGCGAAGGCAGCCCCCUGGGUCAAGAU
rnacentral:rRNA from 1 species